rfam:Candidatus Gottesmanbacteria bacterium RIFCSPHIGHO2_01_FTLL_40_15 rifcsphigho2_01_scaffold_9340, whole genome shotgun sequence.
AGUCUACUCAUAAUGUCAACAAUGGAUGCCUAGGCGGUUAUGGCCGAGGAAGGACGCUUGCAUACCAGCGAUAUCGCCGUUGAGGCGGCCAGCAGCCAGCGAAACGGCGGUUUCCGAAUCGAGCAAUCGCCCCGAUAUUACAUCGGGGAGGUAAUAAUGAAAGGUUCCGAUCUAAUCGGGACAAAUAGUUGUUACCGGGGCACCGGGCGAACUGAAACAUCUAAGUAGCCCGAGGAAAAGAAAUCAAUUAACGAGAUUCCGUCAGUAGCGGCGAGCGAAAGCGGAAGAGCCUAAACCCUUCGAUUCGACUUUGCUCCGCAAAGGCUCACUCAGGGCAAGCCCUGGGAGAGUCUAAAGGGGGUUCACCCCGAGCGAGGCGAAGCCGAGUCGAGGGGGGUUGCAGGGUCUUGCACAAGGGAUGGGAAGCGGAUAGUAGAAUAUCUUGGAAUAGAUAGUCAUAGAGAGUGAAAACCUCGUAUACGAAAUCCAAAUCCCCCCUGCGAGAUUCCUAAGUACCAUGAAGCACGGCAAAACUUCGUGGGAAUCCGGGUGGUCCACCAUCCAAGGCUAAACACCAUAACCGACCAAUAGUGAACAAGUACCGUGAGGGAAAGGUGAAAAGUCCCCCGGAAGGGGAGUGAAAUAGUACCUGAAAUUGUUGACUAACAAACAGACGGAGUCCCGAUAAAAUCGGGAUGACGUCGUGCCUAUUGAAGAAUGAACCGAUGAGUUUCCGGUUAACGGCUAUAGUCUAAGUCACUUUGUGACGGAGACGCAGUGAAAGCAAGCUCUAAUUGAGCGAUUUUGUCGUUAACGGAGGACCCGAAACCGGGUGAGCUAAGCAUGGACAGGGUGAACCCCGAUGAAAAUCGGGGGGAGGCCCGAACCCGUUGUUGUUNNNNNNNNNNNNNNNACCCGUUGUUGUUGCAAAAACAUGGGAUGAUCUGUGCUUAGGGGUAAUAUGCCAAUCGAACCCGGAGAUAGCUGGUUCUCCCCGAAAUAUAUUUAGGUAUAGCGGUCUGUUUAUAGAUCUUGGGGGUAGAGCACUGGAUGGGUUAUCGAGCUUACGCGAGAUAGCUCAAUCAAACUCCGAAUACCAGGAUUAUUACAGGCUAGUCAGUCCGGCUCGGCUAAGCGAGUCAGGUCGAGCGGGGGAACAACCCAAACUCCCAAUUAAGGCCCCAAAAUUUUGGCUAAGUUGUAAAGGAAGUAAGAUUUCCACGACACCCAGGAGGUUGGCUUAGAAGCAGCCAUCCUUGAAAGAGUGCGUAACAGCUCACUGGAUGAGAAGUUUUGCGCCGAAAAUGAACGGGGAUAAGCCAAGUGCCGAAAUUGGAGAUUCCGAUGCAAAUCGGGAUAGUAGGGGAGCGUUCCUGUUGCAGUGAAGCUUACGGUGUAAACCGGAGUGGAGCGGCAGGAAGUGAGAAUGUCGGUAUGAGUAGCGAGAGUCCGAUGAAAAUUCGGACCGCCGAAAGCCCAAGGUUUCCGUCCCAACGUUCAUCGAGGACGGGUUAAUCGGAUCUAAGGCGAGUCCCCGUUUAAUCGGGGGGUAGCUCGAUGUACAAGCCGUCGAAAUUCGGCUAUAGUUUUAAGUGUCUCCUAGGGGGUGACGAGAUUGGAGUAACAGAGUCCUGUACACACGGGAUUCAAAUUACAAGAUAGUGAUAAUCGGAAAAUCCAUUAUUGCGUUUAAUCAAGUAAUGAAUAAGAGUUCAAAGCCGCAAGGCUGCGAGCAAUUCUGUGAUCUUCAGUGUCCAAGAAAAGUCUCAUAGGGUUCCGAUUUAUCGGGACAAACGCUUAAAGCUUCCGUACCGCAAACCGACACAGGUGGGCUGGUAGAGUAUACUAAGGCGAUCGGGAGAAAACGGUUCAAGGAACUCGGCAAAUCAGCUGGGCGUAACCUAUGGGAGAUGCCCUUCCCGUCAGAAUGGUGUUUCUAAGACAUGUCUGCGUUAGAGAGUUUAAACACUUUCUAAAUUCAGGGUGAUUUUAGGACCAGCAUUCUGACGGGACGCAGCGAAAGACGCUAACCGACUGUUUAACUAAAACACAGGUCUCUGCAAAGCCGAAAGGCAAAGUAUAGGGGCUGACGCCUGCCCAGUGCACGAAGGUUAAGAUUUUUGGGUGAUCCCUGAUGCAAAUCGGGGUAAGCUUAGAACUCAAGCCCGUGUGAACGGCAGCAGUAACUAUAACUGUUCUAUGGUAGCGAAGUUCCUUGUCGGGUAAGUUCCGACCCGCACGAA